AUUGAACGCUGGCGGCAUGCCUUACACAUGCAAGUCGAACGGUAACAGGUCUUCGGAUGCUGACGAGUGGCGAACGGGUGAGUAAUGCAUCGGAACGUGCCCAGUCGUGGGGGAUAACGCAGCGAAAGCUGCGCUAAUACCGCAUACGAUCUAUGGAUGAAAGCGGGGGACCGAAAGGCCUCGCGCGAUUGGAGCGGCCGAUGUCAGAUUAGGUAGUUGGUGGGGUAAAGGCCUACCAAGCCAACGAUCUGUAGCUGGUCUGAGAGGACGACCAGCCACACUGGGACUGAGACACGGCCCAGACUCCUACGGGAGGCAGCAGUGGGGAAUUUUGGACAAUGGGCGCAAGCCUGAUCCAGCAAUGCCGCGUGCAGGAAGAAGGCCUUCGGGUUGUAAACUGCUUUUGUACGGAACGAAACGGUCCGGGUUAAUACCCUGGGCUAAUGACGGUACCGUAAGAAUAAGCACCGGCUAACUACGUGCCAGCAGCCGCCGUAAUAC
rnacentral:rRNA from 1 species